GACGAACGCUGGCGGCGUGCUUAACACAUGCAAGUCGAACGGAAAGUCCCUGCUUUUGUGGGGUGCUCGAGUGGCGAACGGGUGAGUAACACGUGAGUAACCUGCCCUUGACUGGGGGAUAACUUCAGGAAACUGGGGCUAAUACCGGAUAGGAGCUCCUGCUGCAUGGUGGGGGUUGGAAAGUUUCGGCGGUUGGGGUUGGACUCGCGGCUUAUCAGCUUGUUGGUGGGGUAGUGGCUUACCAAGGCUUUGACGGGUAGCCGGCCUGAGAGGGUGACCGGCCACGUUGGGACUGGGAUACGGCCCAGACUCCUACGGCAGGCAGCAGUGGGAAAUAUUGCACAAUGGGGGGAAGCCUGAUGCAGCAACGCCGCGUGCGGGAUGACGGCCUUCGGGUUGUAAACCGCUUUCGCCUGUGACGAAGCGUGAGUGACGGUACUGGGUAAAGAAGCACCGGCUAACUACGUG
rnacentral:rRNA from 1 species